GUGCACGCGCAGUAGCACAGAAUUCCCCCAGGAGUAAUGGGCGCACCACAGACAGCAGUAGUGCAAGAUUCCUACGCUGCCCUGCCAAUGUGCUUCAACACUGAUCUGGAGGGACCACGUCUAGGGUCAUUCAUUCUCCAUGGCUGAUUCAGUCAUUGGCUUCU
rnacentral:sRNA from 1 species